rnacentral:misc_RNA from 1 species
GUUGGUUAUGAAAAAAUUUAUGAAGCUAAAACAGCCGCCUAAGAAACAGAAAUAGCUUAAGUAGAAGAAUUAUUUAUUAUAAAAAAGUGUAGGAAGCUGUGGCAGCUGCUGUUCUGAUUUAAGAGUUGCAAUUAGGUGCAACAGGAAUUGGACGCUGCCAAAUUGCAGUUUAUUGCACUUAUACAUGAGUUAAAUCAAUAUUUUCUUUAGACAUUCUGAACAGUUAUAGGAGUAUCUUGCUGGUGGCUAAGC